rnacentral:rRNA from 1 species
ACGGCUCAGUAACACGUGGGUAACUGCCUUACACAGGGGGAUAGCCUUCCGAAGGGAAGAUUAAUACCGCAUAAGAAGUAAUUACCGCAUGGUAGAAGCUUUAAAGGAGCAAUCCGGUGUAAGAUGGACCCGCGGCGCAUUAGCUAGUUGGUGAGGUAACGGCUCACCAAGGCAACGAUGCGUAGCCGACCUGAGAGGGUGAUCGGCCACAUUGGAACUGAGAGACGGUCCAGACUCCUACGGGAGGCAGCAGUGGGGAAUAUUGCACAAUGGAGGAAACUCUGAUGCAGCAACGCCGCGUGAGUGACGAAGGCCUUCGGGCUGUAAAGCUCUGUCAUCUGGGACGAUAAUGACGGUACCAGAGGAGGAAGCCACGGCUAACUACGUGCCAGCAGCCGCGGUAAUACGUAGGUGGCGAGCGUUGUCCGGAAUUACUGGGCGUAAAGGAUGCGUAGGUGGGAAUUUAAGUCAGAUGUGAAACACCCGAGCUUAACUUGGGCACUGCAUUUGAAACUGAAUUUCCUGAGUGCAGGAGAGGAAAGCGGAAUUCCUAGUGUAGCGGUGAAAUGCGUAGAGAUUAGGAAGAACACCAGUGGCGAAGGCGGCUUUCUGGACUGUAACUGACACUGAGGCAUGAAAGCGUGGGGAGCAAACAGGAUUAGAUACCCUGGUAGUCCACGCUGUAAACGAUGGGUACUAGGUGUGGGAGGUAUCGACUCCUUCCGUGCCGCAGUUAACACAAUAAGUACCCCGCCUGGGGAGUACGAUCGCAAGAUUAAAACUCAAAGGAAUUGGCGGGGGAGCAC